GACGAACGCUGGCGGCGUGCUUAACACAUGCAAGUCGAACGGAAAGGCCCUGCUUUUGUGGGGUGCUCGAGUGGCGAACGGGUGAGUAACACGUGAGUAACCUGCCCUUGACUUUGGGAUAACUUCAGGAAACUGGGGCUAAUACCGGAUAGGAGCUCCUGCUGCAUGGUGGGGGUUGGAAAGUUUCGGCGGUUGGGGAUGGACUCGCGGCUUAUCAGCUUGUUGGUGGGGUAGUGGCUUACCAAGGCUUUGACGGGUAGCCGGCCUGAGAGGGUGACCGGCCACAUUGGGACUGCGAGACGGCCCAGACUCCUACGGGGGGCAGCAGUGGCGAAUAUUGCACAAUGGGCGGAAGCCUGAUGCAGCAACGCCGCGUUCGGGAUGACGUCCUUCGGGUGGUAAACCGCUUUCGCCUGUGACGAAGCGUGAGUGACGGUAAUGGGUAAAGAAGCACCGGCUAACUACGUG
rnacentral:rRNA from 1 species